rnacentral:rRNA from 1 species
GGGAUUGCCUUAGUAACUGCGAGUGAAGCGGCAAAAGCUCAAAUUUGAAAUCUGGUACCUUUGGUGCCCGAAUUGUAAUUUGGAGGCAUAUCUUCGGAGCUGGUGCUGUCCUAAGUUCCUUGGAACAGGACGUCAUAGAGGGUGAGAAUCCCGUGCCUGGAUGGCUGACCAGCUCCAUGUGAAGUGUGUCCUACGAGUCGAGUUGUUUGGGAAUGCAGCUCAAAAUGGGUGGUAAAUUUCAUCUAAAGCUAAAUAUUGGCGAGAGACCGAUAGCGCACAAGUAGAGUGAUCGAAAGAUGAAAAGCACUUUGAAAAGAGAGUUAAAAAGUACGUGAAAUUGUUGAAAGGGAAGCGCUUGCGACCAGACUCAAUCUUAGGUGAUCAGCUGGGCUUCGGUUCGGUGCCAUUGCCUUUGAUUGGGCCAGCAUCAGUUUUGACGGUGGGAUAAAAGUUAGAGGAAUGUGGCUUCCUUCGGGAAGUGUUAUAGCCUCUUUCAUAAUGCCACCAGUUGGGACUGAGGACCGCGCUUCGGCUAGGAUGCUGGCGUAAUGGUCUUAAGCGACCCGUCUUGAAACACGGACCAAGGAGUCUAACAUCUAUGCGAGUGUUCGGGUGGAAAACCCUUGCGCGUAAUGAAAGUGAACGGAGGUGUGAACCCUUUGGGUGCAACAUCGACCGGUCCUGAUGUCUUCGGAAGGAUCUGAGUAAGAGCAUAGCUGUUGGGACCCGAAAGAUGGUGAACUAUGCCUGAAUAGGGUGAAGCCAGAGGAAACUCUGGUGGAGGCUCGCAGCGGUUCUGACGUGCAA